UGGGGAAUAUUGCACAAUGGGCGCAAGCCUGAUGCAGCCAUGCCGCGUGUAUGAAGAAGGCCUUCGGGUUGUAAAGUACUUUCAGCGGGGAGGAAGGGAGUAAAGUUAAUACCUUUGCUCAUUGACGUUACCCGCAGAAGAAGCACCGGCUAACUCCGUGCCAGCAGCCGCGGUAAUACGGAGGGUGCAAGCGUUAAUCGGAAUUACUGGGCGUAAAGCGCACGCAGGCGGUUUGUUAAGUCAGAUGUGAAAUCCCCGGGCUCAACCUGGGAACUGCAUCUGAUACUGGCAAGCUUGCGUCUCGUAGAGGGGGGUAGAAUUCCAGGUGUAGCGGUGAAAUGCGUAGAGAUCUGGAGGAAUACCGGUGGCGAAGGCGGCCCCCUGGACGAAGACUGACGCUCAGGUGCGAAAGCGUGGGGAGCAAACAGG
rnacentral:rRNA from 1 species